rnacentral:rRNA from 1 species
AGGAGGCAGCAGUGGGGAAUAUUGGACAAUGGUGGAAACACUGAUCCAGCCAUGCCGCGUGCAGGAUGAAGGUUCUAUGAAUCGUAAACUGCUUUUGUACGGGAAUAACCGCAGGUUCGUGAAACUUGUCUGAAUGUACCGUAAGAAUAAGGAUCGGCUAACUUCGUGCCAGCAGCCGCGGUAAGACGAAGGAUCCAAGCGUUAUCCGGAUUUAUUGGGUUUAAAGGGUGCGUAGGUGGCUUUAUAAGUCAGUGGUGAAAUCUCGAUGCUUAACAUCGAAACUGCCAUUGAUACUGUAGAGCUUGAAUAUGUUUGAAGUGGGCGGAAUGUAUAGUGUAGCGGUGAAAUGCUUAGAUAUUAUACAGAACACCAAUUGCGAAGGCAGCUCACUAAACCAUUAUUGACACUGAUGCACGAAAGCGUGGGGAGCGAACAGGAUUAGAUACCCGCGUAGUCCG